rnacentral:rRNA from 1 species
GAUGAACGCUAGCUACAGGCUUAACACAUGCAAGUCGAGGGACCGGCGCACGGGUGAGUGACACGUAUCCAACCUGACCUUUAGCCGGGGAUAGCCUUUCGAAAGAAAGAUUAACACCCGAUGUAAAGGAUGGGGAUGCGUUCCAUUAGGUUGUUGGUGAGGUAACGUCACACCAAGCCUUCGAUGGAUAGGUGUGAUGAGAAGAAGUUCCCCUGCAAUGGAGCUGAGACACAGUCCAAACUGCGACGCGAGUGUGCGGUAAGGAAUAUUGGUGGAGAAACUUUAGCCUGACCCAGCCAAGUAGCGUGAAGGAGGAAGGCUUAUGGGUCGUAAUCUUCUUUUAUAUAAGAAUAUGUAUCAGAUGAAUAAGGAUCGGCUAACUCCGUGCCAGCAGCCGCGGUAAUUC